ensembl:processed_transcript
GAAUAAGAGACUGGGAGAGGGAGAGGGUUCAAUUUGGGUCCAGCCGAACCCUUAAUUUUUAACUCCUUGGAUUUAUUCGAUGGGUUGUUGUGAUGUUGUAAUCCCGCUAGAAAGUCAGGCAGUCCUUUGGGUUACCCGAGGAAAAUGUUGAGCGCGCUCGUCGAGGGUUCAAGGAAGUUGCUGGGAUUGGAGUCAUGUGAGCUGGUGGAGCUGGCCUGAAUCCCUUGGAGGGAGUGUCGAGGCGCACAGCCUCUCGAGAGGCUGAGGCAACGCUGGCUCAUUCCCCAGCCUGAGAUCAGAGGGAACCUUCCUGGGUGUGGGCUCCGACUGACUAAACGUGCAGUCACUGAGUCCCUGGGAAGAUUAGUCCUUCUCAGCCUGAGAUAAGCACGCACACCCAACGGCAGAAAAAAAAAAAAAAAACCACGAAAAAUGGAGCCAGACAUUGAUGAGGACUCUUGGCAACUUAAAAUGUUGAUUUGGUGAUCUAAUUUGUACAUAUGUAUGUAACGCACGCCCCCUCCCCAACUCCCAACACACACACACAUUGUCCUCUAAAUCAUGUGAAAUCUAAAGAAUCAUCUCUUGGAAAUAUUACGUAAAGUUAGCAAGUCGGUCUUGCACAUGCACUGAGAUUCGGUAAAAAGUGCCCAAAUAGGGACCCUUACAAAUGAAGCUUAUAAACAUGUCAACAAGAUUUGUAUAACAGAACAAACAGCUUGCUUACUAAACAGUUAAAGUCGAAUUUUGGAGGAAGAGGAGCAAACUAAAGCAUCGGUUAACGUUUUCAGUCAUUUAAAACUAAAAGAAUCCAAGGGAUGGGAAACAAAGUUGCCUGAUGGGGUAUAAAUUACAGCAUUCUUAAGAGAAAGGAUGGGAAGUAUAUAGCCAGCUUUUGGAAAUGUGCCUCUGGUUCCAGUUAUUCUGAUUUUUAAAUCUUACAGUCUUUUAAAACAUGAACCAAGAUAUUAAUGGCAGCGUUGUUUACAAUAUCAAAGUUUUGAUGACCGCUAAACUGUCCGACAUUAAAGAGAUUGGACAAACUCCUCUGUCUGUUUCCUCAUAUAUAAGAAACGGAAAUGACAAACCAUUGAAGAUGAAAUAAAUUACUAGAAGCAAAUCCCCUGUAAUAGUGUCUAGCAUAUAGUAAGCACUCAAGUGGAAUCAAUAGUUAUAAUUGUACUUAUUUGGCCAUUGAAAGUAAGAGCAUAGAUGUGUAUUUACAUAGAUAGACAUCUGAGUGGAUAAGAGUUUAAAAGGCUGUAAAGAUUGACUGAGGAUGAGCCUCGGUGAUGGAGUACUUGUUUAGAACGUGAGAGGCUCUGGGUUCUGACCUUGGCACUG